AACGAACGCUGGCGGCAGGCCUAACACAUGCAAGUCGAGCGGACCCUUCGGGGUUAGCGGCGGACGGGUGAGUAACGCGUGGGAACGUGCCCUUUGCUUCGGAAUAGCCCUGGGAAACUGGGAGUAAUACCGGAUACGCCCUUUUGGGGAAAGAUUUAUCGGCGAAGGAUCGGCCCGCGUUGGAUUAGGUAGUUGGUGGGGUAAUGGCCUACCAAGCCGACGAUCCAUAGCUGGUUUGAGAGGAUGAUCAGCCACACUGGGACUGAGACACGGUCCAGACUCCUACGGGAGGCAGCAGUGGGGAAUCUUAGACAAUGGGGGAAACCCUGAUCUAGCCAUGCCGCGUGAGCGAUGAAGGCCUUAGGGUUGUAAAGCUCUUUCACCGGGGAAGAUAAUGACGGUACCCGGAGAAGAAGCCCCGGCUAACUCCGUG
rnacentral:rRNA from 1 species